GACGAACGCUGGCGGCGUGCCUAAUACAUGCAAGUCGAACGCUUUUUCUUUCACCGGAGCUUGCUCCACCGAAAGAAAAAGAGUGGCGAACGGGUGAGUAACACGUGGGUAACCUGCCCAUCAGAAGGGGAUAACACUUGGAAACAGGUGCUAAUACCGUAUAACACUAUUUUCCGCAUGGAAGAAAGUUGAAAGGCGCUUUCGCGUCACUGAUGGAUGGACCCGCGGUGCAUUAGCUAGUUGGUGAGGUAACGGCUCACCAAGGCAACGAUGGAUAGCACACGUGAUAGGGUGUUCUGCCACGAUGGGACCGAGUGACGGCCCGCACUCUUUCGGGGGGCAUCAGUAGGGAAUCUUCGGCAAUCGUCGUAAGUCUCACCGUGCAACGUCGCAUGCGUGAUGAAGGUUUUCGGAUCGUAGACCUCUAUUCUUAGAGAAGAACAAGGAGGAGAGUAAAACGUUCAUCCCUUGACGGUAUCUAACCAGAAAGCCACGGCUAAAUGCGUGCCAGCCGCCGCGGUAA
rnacentral:rRNA from 1 species